rnacentral:rRNA from 1 species
UACAGAGAGUGCAAGCGUUAAUCGGAAUUACUGGGCGUAAAGCGCGCGUAGGUGGAUAUUUAAGUCGAAUGUGAAAUCCCUGGGCUUAACUCAGGAACUGCAUCCGAUACUGGGUAUCUAGAGUAUGGUAGAGGGAAGUGGAAUUUCCGGUGUAGCGGUGAAAUGCGUAGAUAUCGGAAAGAACACCAGUGGCGAAGGCGACUUCCUGGACCAAUACUGACACUGAGGUGCGAAAGCGUGGGGAGCAAACAGG